rnacentral:misc_RNA from 1 species
GAUGAAGAACGCAGCGAAAUGCGAUAAGUAAUGUGAAUUGCAGAAUUCAGUGAAUCAUCGAAUCUUUGAACGCACAUUGCGCCCGCCAGUAUUCUGGCGGGCAUGCUUGUCUGAGCGUCAUUUCAACCCUCAUGCCCCUAGGGCGUGGUGUUGGGGAUCGGCCAAAGCCCGCGAGGGACGGCCGGCCCCUAAAUCUAGUGGCGGACCCGUCGUGGCCUCCUCUGCGAAGUAGUGAUAUUCCGCAUCGGAGAGCGAUGAGCCCCUGCCGUUAAACCCCCAACUUUCCAAGGUUGACCUCAGAUCAGGUAGGAAUACCCGCUGAACUUAAGCAUAUCAAUAAGCGGAGGA